AGCAUCACGUAUAGCACGUUUUGCGUCUUGCGUCAUAGUGGCUUACUGGCGCGCGUUCUUUCGGUCGGUGCAGAGUGAAAUGGAUGGAAAUUCGUGGAACAACACCACCAGAGACUGAUACCCAUCAUCGUAUUUUUACAAGGAAAUGCUUUUCUAGUUGAUCUCUACAGUGCCAAGUGUGGUGGAGCUGAAGAAGCUGUUGACAACACUGGAUAGUGAUUGUUUCAACCAAUGGAAAAGGACCAUCGGUCUGAUGGGGCUCCCCGACUACCUCAAAGAUGUUGCGUCCAACUUUUACAAGAAAGUUCAGGCCACAGUUGCUAAGGAGGACAUGACUAGAGGAAUGACUGUGGGCAUCCUCGUGGUGGCAGACGGGAAUGAUACUGUUGGUUUCGCUGUGGUCAUUGAGGAAGAAAUCAUCCUUCCGUCGCUCAGUGAUUUUCCAACGGCUGUGGCACUUCUGAUGGGUCUGCUCUAUGCACUGAACAUUGACUACCCCAAAGACACAAGGUACACAUUUGAAGUCAUUCAGAAGGUGCUCAUGGACAUUGGUGGAGGCCAUUGCACUGCGUUGGUUCAUGGCUUGAGAAACAGACUCUUGAGGAAAACCAUGUAAGCUUAAAGCAGAGUUUAAGCUUUGCCCAAAUGUGAACAAAAUGUGAACUUGAUUGAGAAAUGGACUCUUUGUUAUUUUUGUUAGACGUCUUAUAGAUUGUGUACUGUUUGGGGGACACAAUAACACACACGGUAUGGAUUUAUUUGGGGGACACAGUAACACACACGGUGUGGAUUUAUUUGGGGGGGACAGUAACACACUCGGUGUGUUUAUUUUGGGGACACGGUAACACACUCGUGUGUAUUCAUUUUGAAGGACAGUAAAACACACAGUAUGGAUUUAUUUGGGGGACACAGUAACACACUCGGUGUGUUUAUUUUGGGGACAG